GGUUAGUUAGCAUAUUUGGUAAUGUAUAAGUUUGCAAAACUUUAAGAGGUAUGUUCGAGUCAUACACUAACCU
rnacentral:tRNA from 1 species